CAGCAGCCGCGGGAAUACGUAGGUGGCAAGCGUUGUCCGGAAUUAUUGGGCGUAAAGGGCUCGCAGGCGGUUUCUUAAGUCUGAUGUGAAAGCCCCCGGCUCAACCGGGGAGGGUCAUUGGAAACUGGGAAACUUGAGUGCAGAAGAGGAGAGUGGAAUCCCACGUGUAGCGGUGAAAUGCGUAGAGAUGUGGAGGAACACCAGUGGCGAAGGCGACUCUCUGGUCUGUAACUGACGCUGAGGAGCGAAAGCGUGGGGAGCGAACAGGAUUAGAUACCCGCGUAGUCCCUGUCUCUUAUAC
rnacentral:rRNA from 1 species